UACGUAGUUGUAAAUAGAUGGUAGUGUAUAUGGUGUAUAAAAUUUUAGUGUAAUAUUGCAUGGACAAACACAGACGUAUACUUUAUGACGAGACGUCAUUUAGGAAAGCGGGGGAGUAUGUACCCGAGUGGUUUUUAACCCUAUUUUACUUAUGUGUAACCUAUUUCUUGUGGUCAGUUCUCUUACUAUUGGGAAUGGUUUUGUCAGUCUUUGGAGGGAAACUGUUGGACAAAGACAGCGGUUUUCUUCGUGUAAUAUUUUGAGUAAUACAUGGUUAAUUAGGACUUCUACUGCAGUCACAGAAAGCGUGGGAAGAAGGAGCAAGGGAGUGAACUCCAUUCAGUUCCACAAAUUGAUUGGAGCCUUGACGUUUGAUGCUCUUGAGUUAUAUGUGAAUCAAAUAUUCUAAUUAUAUGGAAAUGUAAAACUAGACAGUCUUGAGUUAUCUUCCUCCUGUGUGGUUAAGUAGCGAAAUAACCACAAAGUUAUAA